GUGUGGGUCUCUCUCCCUCUCUCUGCUACAGGGUGUGACGUGCAGGUGUUUUGCGUCUCGGCUGAUUAAGGCACCUACUUAAGGAGCAGAGACCAGGAGGAGGGCGUCAGUUCUUUCUCGCUACCAGCGUGGUACAUGACCGACUUUAAACUCCGUCCCGAGUUCGUCCAAGUCAACCCUAACCUUGUGUUUUCGAUCUCUUCUAGAAAAUCCACCGAGAAUCCUAGAACCUUCCAAGCCUGGACUCUCUUCGAGGCCUGGAGUCCUCUGACUGCCACUCUGCUUGGGUCCUCCUCCUUGCACUCACCUGCCUGUCCACCCUCCAUCUCAAACAACACCGGAGAGAGUCACCUGACAACACCUGGACCAAAGACACGCUACCCCCCGGACCCCUGCCAAGCACCAGCCUCCGACCAAGAACAAUCCGGCCAGAAGCAUACACAACUUUGCUCAAUAAAUCAUUUUCUUAUUGGAA